CCUUCGGAAUUUGAAGCUAGAG
rnacentral:snRNA from 1 species